rnacentral:rRNA from 1 species
AUUGCCUCAGUAACGGCGAGUGAAGCGGCAACAGCUCAAAUUUGAAAUCUGGCCUUCUGGUCCGAGUUGUAAUUUGUAGAGGAUGUUUCGAACGUGGUCCGGUCUAAGUUUCUUGGAACAGAACGUCAUAGAGGGUGAGAAUCCCGUAUGCGACUGGGUGCCUAAGUUCAUGUGAAGCUCCUUCGACGAGUCGAGUUGUUUGGGAAUGCAGCUCAAAAUGGGUGGUAAAUUUCAUCUAAAGCUAAAUAUUGGCCAGAGACCGAUAGCGCACAAGUAGAGUGAUCGAAAGAUGAAAAGCACUUUGGAAAGAGAGUUAAACAGUACGUGAAAUUGUUGAAAGGGAAGCGCUUGCAACCAGACUUGCAUGCAGUUGAUCAUCCGAUGUUCUCACCGGUGCACUCGAUUGUAUUCAGGCCAGCAUCGGUUUUGGUGGUUAGAUAAAGGCCUUGGGAAUGUAGCUUCUUUCGGGGAGUGUUAUAGCCCUCGGUGCAAUGUAGCCUACCGGGACCGAGGACCGCGCUUCGGCUAGGAUGCUGGCGUAAUGGUUGUAAGCGACCCGUCUUGAAACACGGACCAAGGAGUCUAACAUCUAUGCGAGUGUUUGGGUGUAAAACCCAUACGCGUAAUGAAAGUGAACGGAGGUGAGAACCCUUAAGGGUGCAUCAUCGACCGAUCCUGAUGUCUUCGGAUGGAUUUGAGUAAGAGCAUAGCUGUUGGGACCCGAAAGAUGGUGAACUAUGCCUGAAUAGGGUGAAGCCAGAGGAAACUCUGGUGGAGGCUCGCAGCGGUUCUGACGUGCAAAUCGAUCGUCAAUUUGGGGUAUAGGGGGGCGAAAAAGACUAAUCGAA